rnacentral:lncRNA from 1 species
AAAACUAAUUUUAUAUUACGAGCAAUCAUACAAAAUCGCAUAGAAGAGAAAUAUCAAAUUUGAAGACAUGACAUAUAAACCUGAAACCCUAAACUCUAGUUUGAAAAGGAAAUUACUAAACCCUAAACGCUAACCACUAAACCCUAAACCCAAAUAUAAACCCUAAAUCCUAAACCCAAAUAUAAACCCUAAACACUAAUCACUAAACUCUAAACCCUAAUCACUAAGCCCUAAACCCAAAUAUAAACCCUAAACAUUAAUCACUAAACUCUAAACCCAAAUAUAAACCCUAAACCCUAAUUACUAAACCCUAAACCCAGAGAUAAACCCUAAACACUAAUCACUAAACCCUAAACCCUAAUCACUAAACCCUAAACUCAAAUAUAAACCCUAAACUCUAAUCACUAAACCCUAAACCCAAAUAUAAACCCUAAUCACUAAACUCUAAACCCAGAUAUAAACCCUAAACACUA